CCACUGUAAAAGUUUCACACUGGCUACAAAUUAAAACUUUUCUGCAAAACUUGUGUGGUUCCAGUAAUUUACACAUGUUGCCUGUAAACAAUGAUAAUCGUCCUCAAUAUCAAUGACAGAAAUAUUAAAGCAUGUAUAGAGGAUGUAAACAAAAAUUGUUUUAAUUUGUACAUCUGUAUAUCCAUGGUUAAGAAUAUGUUCCUUUUUGCUUUUGCAAGGCAAAAUUAGUUUGUCAAAAAUACUGUGUGUAUGUGUGUGUGUGUGCGUGUGUAUUGUUUCUGCUGCUUAUUAGUGUUACUCUUUAUCACGUUGUUGUCAUCUUGAACAUAUAAGCUUCAAUGUGAUUUGUAAAAGUCAUGAUGUUAUAUUUUUGUAAACAGUAGAUAGUGCAUUCCAGUUUGACUCAUAAACUGCUUUUAUUCCCCUACAUCAUAUUUUGCUGCAUCCUGGGAAAACUUGGCUUUAUGAAUGUACAUUAAGUGCCUUCCUAGUUUAGCCUGUGCAGUCUGCACACUUUCCUUUUUAUGCCCCCGGUAGGGUGGCAUAUAGCAGUUGAACUGUCCGUCAGUUAGUAUGUCAGUCUGUCCGUCCGUCUAAAAACUUUAAUAGUCAUAACUUUUUAAAUAGUUAUGCCCCCCUUCAAAGAAGAGGGGGUAUAUUGCUUUGCACAUGUCGGUCGGUCUGUCGGUCCACCAGGUGGUUUUCAGAUGAUAACUCAAGAACGCUUGGGCCUAGGAUCAUGAAACUUCAUAGGUACAUUGAUUAUGACUCGCAGAUGACCUCUAUUGAUUUUGAGGUAAAAGGUCAAGGUCACGCUGACCCGAAAUAGUAAAAUGGUUUCCGGAUGAUAACUCAAGAACGCAUACGCCUAGGAACAUGAAACUUCAUAGGUAGAUUGAUCAUGACUCGCAGAUGAUCCCUAUUGAUUUUGAGGUCACUAGGUCAAAGGUCAAGGUCACGGUGACCCGAAAUAGUAAAAUGGUUUGUGGAUGAUAACUCAAGAACGCAUACGCCUAGGAUCAUGAAACUUCAUCGUUAGAUAGAUCAUGACUCGCAGAUGACCUCUAUUGAUUUCGAGGUCAAAGGUCAAGGUCACUGUGACCCAAAAUAUUAAAAUGAUUUUCUGAUGAUAACUCAAGAACGCAUACGCCUAGGAUCAUAAAACUUCAUAGGUAGAUUGAUCAUGACUGGCAGAUGACCCCUAUUGAUUUUUAGGUCACUAGGUCAAAGGUCAAAAUCAUGGUGACCCGAAAUAGUAUAAUGAUUUUCAGAUGAUAACUCAAGAACGCAUAUGCCUAGGAUCAUGAAACUUCAUGGGUAGAUUGAUCAUGACUGGCAGAUGACCCCUAUUGAUUUUGAGGUCACUAGGUAAAAGGUCAAGGUCACAGUGACCCGAAAUAGUUAAAUGGUUUCCGGAUGAUAACUCAAGAACGCUUACGCCUAGGAUCAUGAAACUUCAUAGGUACAUUGGUCAUGACUUGCAGAUGACCCAUAUCGAUUUUUAGGUCACUAGGUCAAAGGUCAAGGUCAUGGUGACCCGAAACAGUAAAAUUGUUUCCGGAUGAUAACUCAAGAACGCUUUUGCCUAGGAUCAUGACGCUUCAUAGGUACAUUGAUCAUGACUCGCAGAUGACCCCUAUUGAUUUUCAGGUCACUAGGUCAAAGGUCAAGGUCACAGUGACAAAAAACGUAUUCACACAAUGGCUGCCACUACAACAGACAGCCCAUAUGGGGGGCAUGCAUGUUUUACAAACAGCCCUUGUUAACAUAGCAACUUGAUAUUGGGCAUGCAUGUGCAUCUCAUGGAGCAGCAGAUUUUGAGUGGUGUAAGGUGAAGGGCAUCCUUCAAGGUCAAAUAUCAAAUAUAUGGCGUCUGUCUGUCCGAAAACUUUAACAUUGGCCAUAACUUUUUCAAUAUUGAAGAUAGCAACUUGAUAUUUUGCAUGCAUGUGUAUCUCAUUGAGCUGCACAUUUUGAGUGGUGAAAGGUCAAGGUCAUCCUUCAAGGUCAAAGAUCAAAUAUAGCAACUCGAUAUUUUGCAUGCAUGCGUAUCUCAUGGAGUUGCACAUUUUGAGCGUGAAAGGUCAAGGUCAUCCUUCAAGGUCAAAUGUCAAAUUUUGCAAUAUUAAAGAUAGCAACUCCAUAUUUGGCAUGCAAGCGUAACUCAUGGAGCUGCACAUUUGGAGUGGUGAAAGGUCAAGGUCAUCCUUCAAGGUCAAAAGGAAAAAUAUAUAGCUUCAAAGCGGCGCAGUAGGGGGCAUUGUGUUUCACGAACACAGCUCUUGUUUAAGGAAUAUCUUAAUAUGAGGUCUCUCAUUAAUUAACAAUAAUCUAGUGUAGACAGAAAGCAUUGUCCCUAAUUAGCCUGAGCAGACUGCACUGGCCAAUCUGGAACGACACUACGCACAUGCAUUAAGCCCUGUUUUCCCACAAUGUGGCUCAUAUACCUUAAUCCCAACAUAUUAUACAGUUUAUCAAGUACACUUUCAAUUAUUAUAUUUAUUUUUAUCUACUCUUAUUACUCUUGCAAUUAUGCAUGCAUGGGUGUUUAGUAAAUUGACACAAUUGAAAAAAAUUGUUUCAGAUUCGCAAAUUGUCGCUGUAGUUAUGAUAUUUGCAAGGAAACAGUAAUACUGAACAUUUACAAUGCUGUAAAAUAUCCAUAAUAUGCAUCUUUUGACGAUGUAAAAACAUGAAAUUAUCAAGUCUUACAAACAUGAAAUGCUUGAAAAAUUUGAACAUUUCUGACAUUAUGUUAAUAUUUUGUGACACUCCGAGGAUUGCUUAUACAUGUAUAAAGUAUAAAAUAUACAACUCACUGUAUGAACACAGAAGUCGGGGUGUUUUAAAUGCUGAAGUUUUACUCCAAGGGUCAGUGGUUCAAAACCAGUUGAGGUUUUCUUUCUUUAAUUUUAUUCUUCUUUUUUUUUACCAAUGUUUACAUGAAAUUUUAUCAAUUUAAAGCAUUUAAUGACAAACUUUAAUACAUGCCGAAAUCUGCGAAAAGGUCUUUUUAAUAAGAUUCUCACUACCAGAUUAAUUUUGUUCCUUUAUUGGAGCAUUCUAAUUUUCCUUUGCAUAAGAUUUUAAGAACUCUAUUUUUUAUCUUAGAUCAAUUAUAAGUAAACUGUUAUUAAACGUGAAAUUUGAGACUUCAAGUAAGGCUUAAUAUUCAUGAGAUAUCAGUGGUUAUCUAAAAUCAUAGUAAACAAGUUUGCAUUAUACUUGACAGCUUUAUGUAUAAUCCAUUUGAUUCCAAAAUGAUUCAUCUGUAUAUAUGCAAAUAAAGCUGUUGAAUUCAACAGUUGAAUUAUUAUGAUGAUGUGUACUGUUUUACGUGCUUUGCUUGUUCGAAUAAAUUCGUCCAUAUCAUUUCUUUUUAUGCCUCCCUUCGAAGAAGAGGGGGUAUAUUGUUUUGCACAUGUCGGUCGGUCCGUCCACCAGAUGGUUCCCGGAUGAUAACUCAAGAACGCUUAGGCAUAGGAUCAUGAAACUUUAUAGGUAAAUUGAUCAUGACUGGCAGAUGACCCCUCUUGAUUUUCAGGUUACUAGGUCAAAGGUCAAGGUCACAGUGACUCGAAAUAGUAAAAUGGUUUCCGAAUGAUAACUCAAGAAUGCUAACGCCUAAGAUCAUGAAACUUCAUUGGUACAUCGAUUAUGACUGGCAGAUGACCCCUAUAAAUUUUAAGGUCACUAGGUCAAAGGUCAAUGUAACAGUGACAAAAACGUAUUCACACAAUGGCUGCCACUACAAUUGACAGCCCAUAUGGGGGGCAUGCAUGUUUUACAAACAGCCCUUGUUUAUUUUGGCGUCUUUGAAUUAUGGUAUUGUCAUUAUGUCUUUCAUUUGUUAAUUGUUGUUUGUUAACCUUGCGCGGGGUAACACAUUCAUACUGGAAUAUAUGUGUAGUCAUAAAAAUAAUGAUAUUGUUUCUUUUUGUAUAAACUGAAAAAAAAAAUGUUUCUUUUGGAUUAUUUUACACUUACUGCUAUAUCUCUAGUUUUAAUUGUUUGUUUUAUCUUGCGCAUCAACCCCGAAGUUACUAAAACACAGACAAACAGACACAUUGCAAGAAUCCAUGCCAAUUAGCUCCUGUCAUUGUGAGUCCUAUUUAACUGCUGUAAUAUAAACACAAUAUAUUGUAAACAAAGCUUUAAAUCUCAAUGUGCUGAUUGUGUAUGUAAUAAAGAAAUCUACGUAAA